rnacentral:rRNA from 1 species
AAAUUGAAGAGUUUGAUCAUGGCUCAGAUUGAACGCUGGCGGCAGGCCUAACACAUGCAAGUCGAACGGUAACAGGAAACAGCUUGCUGUUUCGCUGACGAGUGGCGGACGGGUGAGUAAUGUCUGGGAAACUGCCUGAUGGAGGGGGAUAACUACUGGAAACGGUAGCUAAUACCGCAUAACGUCGCAAGACCAAAGAGGGGGACCUUCGGGCCUCUUGCCAUCGGAUGUGCCCAGAUGGGAUUAGCUUGUUGGUGGGGUAACGGCUCACCAAGGCGACGAUCCCUAGCUGGUCUGAGAGGAUGACCAGCCACACUGGAACUGAGACACGGUCCAGACUCCUACGGGAGGCAGCAGUGGGGAAUAUUGCACAAUGGGCGCAAGCCUGAUGCAGCCAUGCCGCGUGUAUGAAGAAGGCCUUCGGGUUGUAAAGUACUUUCAGCGGGGAGGAAGGGAGUAAAGUUAAUACCUUUGCUCAUUGACGUUACCCGCAGAAGAAGCACCGGCUAACUCCGUGCCAGCAGCCGCGGUAAUACGGAGGGUGCAAGCGUUAAUCGGAAUUACUGGGCGUAAAGCGCACGCAGGCGGUUUGUUAAGUCAGAUGUGAAAUCCCCGGGCUCAACCUGGGAACUGCAUCUGAUACUGGCAAGCUUGAGUCUCGUAGAGGGGGGUGGAAUUCCAGGUGUAGCGGUGAAAUGCGUAGAGAUCUGGAGGAAUACCGGUGGCGAAGGCGGCCCCCUGGACGAAGACUGACGCUCAGGUGCGAAAGCGUGGGGAGCAAACAGGAUUAGAUACCCUGGUAGUCCACGCCGUAAACGAUGUCGACUUGGAGGUUGUGCCCUUGAGGCGUGGCUUCCGGAGCUAACGCGUUAAGUCGACCGCCUGGGGAGUACGGCCGCAAGGUUAAAACUCAAAUGAAUUGACGGGGGCCCGCACAAGCGGUGGAGCAUGUGGUUUAAUUCGAUGCAACGCGAAGAACCUUACCUGGUCUUGACAUCCACGGAAGUUUUCAGAGAUGAGAAUGUGCCUUCGGGAAC